rnacentral:tRNA from 1 species
GCCUUGUGGUGUACAGCACAUAAAAUUGCAAAUUUUAAAGAGUGGAAUGAUUCCUCCGGGGCUU